GGGUUAUUGUCUCAGUUUUCUUUUAAAUUUCUUUUCUUUGACAAGUUCAUUUCAACUCAUUGUCCUUGUGGUUUCUCUCAUUAGCGUUUUGCUAUGUGGUUAUCACAGUUCACUUUCGCGUCUUAUUCUCAAUCUCCUCUUAGAAGUGCCGGUAGUUCAUAUUACUUGGUCUAUUUGCUAAACUGCCAAAAGAGUGCAG
rnacentral:lncRNA from 1 species